AACGAACGCUGGCGGCAGGCCUAACACAUGCAAGUCGAGCGAGGACUUCGGUCCUAGCGGCGGACGGGUGAGUAACGCGUGGGAACGUGCCCUUUGGUACGGAAUAGCCCCGGGAAACUGGGAGUAAUACCGUAUGUGCCCUUCGGGGGAAAGAUUUAUCGCCAAAGGAUUAGCCCGCGUUGGAUUAGAUAGUUGGUGGGGUAAUGGCCUACCAAGUCUACGAUCCAUAGCUGGUUUGAGAGGAUGAUCAGCAACACUGGGACUGAGACACGGCCCAGACUCCUACGGGAGGCAGCAGUGGGGAAUCUUAGACAAUGGGCGCAAGCCUGAUCUAGCCAUGCCGCGUGGACGAUGAAGGCCUUAGGGUUGUAAAGUCCUUUCAGAUGGGAAGAUAAUGACGGUACCAUCAGAAGAAGCCCCGGCUAACUCCGUG
rnacentral:rRNA from 1 species